CGAGAGGAUAAGAUAAAACAAGGAGGGAGAGGCCUCGCGCAGGAGGAGAAAAGAAAGAGAGACAGACAGACAGAGCACACCGAAUUAAGGGAGAGUUCGUUGAGCAGAGUGACGCUUCAAGGAAAAUCACAAAUUCGACGGCCAUAGAGUCAAAAUCAGCCGAAACCCCCAACUGGAGAGUGACAGUAGACUCAAAGAGCUUUCCAUCCGUAGAUAAUUCACUCCGUACAGAGAUCAGGAGGUCGGUCAAAAGGGGUCCGAAAACACCGUUUUUCGGAAUGCCCGCCGGUGAAAGGAUCAGCUGACACCCUCUUGGAAAGAGCCAAAUUCGAACACGAACCUUCUUCAGCAUUGCCUAGGCGGAGAAAUUAAGAACACGUAAUUAGGAGUGGACCAAGCCAACAAGCUUGACUUUGAUUGGAGGGUGAGGUCCGAAAGAAGCUGACUCCACCUGUUUGUGAGCAGAAUCCGAGGCUGUAAGGACACGAGCCAAACAAGCAUUUGCAGAAAAGCAUCAUAAAAGCACGUUUCGUUUCAACUUCCUACCUUAGAUCCUCAUGGACAGAGUGU